AUUGAACGCUGGCGGCAGGCCUAACACAUGCAAGUCGAGCGGAUGAAGGGAGCUUGCUCCUGGCUUCAGCGGCGGACGGGUGAGUAAUGCCUAGGAAUCUGCCUGGUAGUGGGGGAUAACGUCCGGAAACGGGCGCUAAUACCGCAUACGUCCUGAGGGUGAAAGUGGGGGAUCUUCGGACCUCACGCUAUCAGAUGAGCCUAGGUCGGAUUAGCUAGUUGGUGGGGUAAAGGCCUACCAAGGCGACGAUCCGUAACUGGUCUGAGAGGAUGAUCAGUCACACUGGAACUGAGACACGGUCCAGACUCCUACGGGAGGCAGCAGUGGGGAAUAUUGGACAAUGGGCGAAAGCCUGAUCCAGCCAUGCCGCGUGUGUGAAGAAGGUCUUCGGAUUGUAAAGCACUUUAAGUUGGGAGGAAGGGCAGUAAGUUAAUACCUGGCUGUUUUGACGUUACCAACAGAAUAAGCACCGGCUAACUUCGUG
rnacentral:rRNA from 1 species